rnacentral:rRNA from 1 species
GAAUUGUUCGCAAUGGGCGCAAGCCUGACGACGCAACGCCGCGUGGGGGAUGAAGGUCCUCGGAUUGUAAACCCCUGUCGAGCGGGACGAAUGGCCCGCGACCCAAUCCGUCGCGGGAGUGACGGUACCGCUAAAGGAAGCCCCGGCUCACCCUGUGCCCGCAGCCGCGGUAAUACAGAGGUGGCAAGCGUUGUUCGGAAUUACUGGGCGUAAAGGGCGCGUAGGCGGCCCUCUAAGUCAGACGUGAAAUCCCCCGGCUCAACCUGGGAACUGCGUCUGAUACUGGAGGGCUCGAGUGCGGGAGAGGGAUGUGGAAUUCCAGGUGUAGCGGUUAAAUGCGUAGAUAUCUGGAGGAACACCGGUGGCGAAGGCGGCAUCCUGGACCGACACUGACGCUGAGGCGCGAAAGCUAGGGUAGCAAACGGG